AAGAUUUUAAGCUAAAUAAAACUAUUAAUUUUCAAGAUUAAAUUUAUAUUAUAAAUAUAAAUCUUA
rnacentral:tRNA from 1 species